rnacentral:rRNA from 1 species
UACGUAGGGUCCGAGCGUUGUCCGGAAUUACUGGGCGUAAAGAGCUCGUAGGUGGUUUGUCGCGUUGUUCGUGAAAACUCACAGCUCAACUGUGGGCGUGCGGGCGAUACGGGCAGACUGGAGUACUGCAGGGGAGACUGGAAUUCCUGGUGUAGCGGUGGAAUGCGCAGAUAUCAGGAGGAACACCGAUGGCGAAGGCAGGUCUCUGGGCCGAUACUGACGCUGAGGAGCGAAAGCGUGGGGAGCGAACAGG